rnacentral:rRNA from 1 species
UUGACCUCGAAUCAGGUAGGAAUACCCGCUGAACUUAAGCAUAUCAAUAAGCGGAGGAAAAGAAACCAACAGGGAUUGCCUCAGUAACGGCGAGUGAAGCGGCAACAGCUCAAAUUUGAAAUCUGGCCCCCCGGCCCGAGUUGUAAUUUGCAGAGGAUGCUUCGGGCGCGGUGCCUUCCAAGUCCCCUGGAACGGGGCGCCGGAGAGGGUGAGAGCCCCGUACGGUUGGCGGCCAAGCCUGUGUGAAGCUCCUUCGACGAGUCGAGUAGUUUGGGAAUGCUGCUCUAAGCGGGAGGUAGACCCCUUCUAAAGCUAAAUAUAGGCCAGAGACCGAUAGCGCACAAGUAGAGUGAUCGAAAGAUGAAAAGCACUUUGAAAAGAGGGUUAAACAGCACGUGAAAUUGUUGAAAGGGAAG